GACGAACGCUGGCGGCGUGCUUAACACAUGCAAGUCGAACGGAAAGGCCUGCUUUCCCUUGUGGAUUGCGGGUGCUCGAGUGGCGAACGGGUGAGUAACACGUGAGUGAUCUGCCCCCAACUUGGGUAUAAGCCUGGGAAACUGGGUCUAAUUCCCGAUAGGACUGCAGGGUGGUGCCUGUGGUGGAAAACGAUUUUCUAGUGGUUGGGGAUGAGCUCGCGGCCUAUCAGCUUGUUGGUGGGGUAAUGGCCUACCAAGGCGGCGACGGGUAGCCGGCCUGGGAGGGUGGACGGCCACAUUGGGACUGAGAUACGGCCCAGACUCCGACGGGAGGCAGCAGUGGGGAAUAUUGCACAAUGGGCGGAAGCCUGAUGCAGCGACGCCGCGUGGGGGAUGACGGCCUUCGGGUGGUAAACUCCUUUCGACCGCGAGGAAGCCACCUGGUUGGAAGGGUGGUGACGGUAGUGGUAGAAGAAGCACCGGCUAACUACGUG
rnacentral:rRNA from 1 species